rnacentral:rRNA from 2 species
UUUGGGGGAAUGAAAAGCUUCGGCUGACUAUGUUAGUAUGCAUUAAUACAAAAAAAAUUAAUGUUUAAAAUGUUAAAAAAAAAAGUUUUUAAUAUUGCUAACGGUUUAGUGACUUUGUCACCUAAAGUUCUAGAUAGAAUACUGAUUAUGACAAUUUACUAUCUAUGUGUCUUGACCAAAUUACGUGCCAGCAGUCGCGGUAAUACGUAGAAGACUAGUGUUAUUCAUCUUUAUUAGGUUUAAAGGGUACCUAGACGGUUUAAUUAGUCCAAAGUAGGAUACGGUUAGACUAGAGUUAUAUUUAAGAAGGUGAGUAUUUGUGGAGUAGAGUUGAAAUUCUGUGAUACCACGAGGACUGGUAAGGGCGAAAGCAACCUUCUAUCUAAUAACUGACGUUGAGGGACGAAGGCUCGGGUCGCAAAGAGGAUUAGAUACCCUAGUAGUCCAAGCAGACAAUGAUGAAUGCCAUAGAUUAGAUAAUAUUUAGUUUAUAAACGAAAGUGCAAGCAUUCCACCUCAAGAGUAAUGUGGCAACACAGGAACUGAAAUCAUUAGACC